CAGAUGCAGUUUCAACUCACAGUCAAAAACAUAGGCGAAUGCAAGUGUUAUUUGUUUUAAUUGCGAAUUGCCAAUGACCCCCAGUUGUUUUAAACAAUGAACUCGCGCGACUGGAGAGUGUAAACAGUAAUCGGAGCCAGAUAACGAAAUCGAAAUAACAAUUGGUAGACACGCACUCGGCAACCAAUCUCAGAGGGAGAUGCGACGACCCCUAAAAGUGAAACCUUAUCAGAUUAAUAAGUUUAUUUAUACAUACCUAUUCAUACAACAGAUUUUUCUUACAAACCAGAGAUAGUUUUUAGUGGGGCGAGAGUUUAAAAAAAUUCCACCCGCUAGUGGGGAAAAUAGUUAUAAAUACCUAUUUAUACAAACGUUUUUUGUCAUUGAUUCAGCAAUACACAACGAUAACUAUACAAGAUAGGUACAAGAUAAGUAGAAUACGAAUAAGUAGAAUAGUGUAAGUCACUUACACUGGAAGUGAACAAAACGAACUGUUUUUUUAACUGUCAACCUGCUUUAAGCUAAGCUGGGGUUUCUUAAAAAUCCAGAAAAAUGGCGCUUUGCAGUUCCAUGUCUACCCUGAUAUUACACAUAACCAGAAGACUGUGUACAUCGAAUUUGGCGAAGAAAGCUAUAGUUAUUUCAAAAAUACCUUUAGAAAUUAUAAAAGUUAGAAGGAAUUCCUAGCACUUCUACUUGAAAAUCUUAAGGCUGUGUUUUCACAUUAUUAGAAGUAAGUUUCUAGUAGUCAAAAAAUUUCUUUAAACUUACCUGAAAAUCUAUAUUGUUAUAAAUGAAGAAUAUUAUUAUUUUUAGUUGCAUCUUUUUCAAUAUUA